rnacentral:rRNA from 1 species
UGGGGAAUCUUGGACAAUGGGCGCAAGCCUGAUCCAGCCAUGCCGCGUGAGUGACGAAGGUCUUCGGAUUGUAAAGCUCUUUUGCCAGGGACGAUAAUGACGGUACCUGGAGAAUAAGCCCCGGCUAACUUCGUGCCAGCAGCCGCGGUAAUACGAAGGGGGCUAGCGUUGUUCGGAAUUACUGGGCGUAAAGCGCACGUAGGCGGAUUAGUAAGUCAGGGGUGAAAUCCCGGGGCUCAACCUCGGAACUGCCUUUGAUACUGCUAAUCUCGAGUCCGAUAGAGGUGAGUGGAAUUCCUAGUGUAGAGGUGAAAUUCGUAGAUAUUAGGAAGAACACCAGUGGCGAAGGCGGCUCACUGGAUCGGUACUGACGCUGAGGUGCGAAAGCGUGGGGAGCAAACAGGAUUAGAUACCCUCGUAGUCCCUGAGCGGGCUGGCAAGGCGCAU